GUUUGAUCCUGGCUCAGAUUGAACGCUGGCGGCAUGCCUUACACAUGCAAGUCGAACGGCAGCACGGGGGCAACCCUGGUGGCGAGUGGCGAACGGGUGAGUAAUACAUCGGAACGUGUCCUGUAGUGGGGGAUAGCCCGGCGAAAGCCGGAUUAAUACCGCAUACGAUCUACGGAAGAAAGCGGGGGAUCGCAAGACCUCGCGCUAUAGGGGCGGCCGAUGGCAGAUUAGCUAGUUGGUGGGGUAAAGGCCUACCAAGGCGACGAUCUGUAGCUGGUCUGAGAGGACGACCAGCCACACUGGGACUGAGACACGGCCCAGACUCCUACGGGAGGCAGCAGUGGGCGAAUUUUGGACAAUGGGGGAAACCCUGAUCCAGCAAUGCCGCGUGUGUGAAGAAGGCCUUCGGGUUGUAAAGCACUUUUGUCCGGAAAGAAAACUUCCUGGUUAAUACCUGGGGAGGAUGACGGUACCGGAAGAAUAGCACCGGACU
rnacentral:rRNA from 1 species